AGGGGUAGCUUGCUACCCGCUGACGAGCGGCGGACGGGUGAGUAAUGCUUAGGAAUCUGCCCAGUAGUGGGGGACAACAAUCGGAAACGGUUGCUAAUACCGCAUACGCCCUAAGGGGGAAAGCAGGGGAUCUUCGGACCUUGCGCUAUUGGAUGAGCCUAAGUCGGAUUAGCUAGUUGGUGGGGUAAUGGCCCACCAAGGCGACGAUCCGUAGCUGGUCUGAGAGGAUGAUCAGCCACAUCGGGACUGAGACACGGCCCGAACUCCUACGGGAGGCAGCAGUGGGGAAUAUUGGACAAUGGGGGCAACCCUGAUCCAGCCAUGCCGCGUGUGUGAAGAAGGCUUUCGGGUUGUAAAGCACUUUCAGUGAGGAGGAAGGCCAAGUCGCUAAUAUCGGCUUGGAUUGACGUUACUCACAGAAGAAGCACCGGCUAACUCCGUGCCAGCAGCCGCGGUAAUACGGAGGGUACAAGCGUUAAUCGGAAUUACUGGGCGUAAAGCGCGCGUAGGUGGUUUGUUAAGCGAGAUGUGAAAGCCCCGGGCUUAACCUGGGAACGGCAUUUCGAACUGGCAGGCUAGAGUGUGGUAGAGGGUAGUGGAAUUUCCUGUGUAGCGGUGAAAUGCGUAGAUAUAGGAAGGAACACCAGUGGCGAAGGCGGCUACCUGGACCAACACUGACACUGAGGUGCGAAAGCGUGGGGAGCAAACAGGAUUAGAUAC
rnacentral:rRNA from 1 species